rnacentral:tRNA from 1 species
GGGGCUGUAGCUCAGUGGUAGAGCGCUUGCCUCAUGCGUAAGGCACUGGGUUCGAUCCUCAGCAUCA